UACGUAGGUGGCAAGCGUUGUCCGGAAUUAUUGGGCGUAAAGCGCGCGCAGGCGGUCCUUUAAGUCUGAUGUGAAAGCCCACGGCUCAACCGUGGAGGGUCAUUGGAAACUGGGGGACUUGAGUGCAGAAGAGAAGAGUGGAAUUCCACGUGUAGCGGUGAAAUGCGUAGAGAUGUGGAGGAACACCGGUGGCGAAGGCGACUCUCUGGUCUGUAACUGACGCUGAGACGCGAAAGCGUGGGGAGCAAACAGG
rnacentral:rRNA from 1 species